GAUGAACGCUGGCGGCGUGCCUAAUACAUGCAAGUCGAGCGAAAGGACGAGGAGCUUGCUUCUCUGAUGUUAGCGGCGGACGGGUGAGUAACACGUGGAUAACCUACCUAUAAGACUGGGAUAACUUCGGGAAACCGGAGCUAAUAACGGAUAAUAUUUUGAACCUCAUGGUUCAAGAGUGAAAGACGGUCUUGCUGUCACUUAUAGAUGGAUAAGCGCUGAAUUAGCUAGUUGGUAAGGUAGCGGCUUACCAAGGCAACGACGCAUAGCCGCCCCGAGAGCGACGUUCGACAGACGGGCAGAGAGAAAGAUCACAGACUCUGACAGGGGGACACAGUCGGGAAUCUUACGGAAUGCGCGAAUGCCUGAUGGUGCACCGCCGCGGGAGUGCUGAAGGUCUUCGGCUGGUAAAGCGCUGUUAUCAGGGAAGAAGAUAUGUGUAAGUAACUGUGCACAUCUUGACGGUACCGGAACAGUAAGCCACGGCUAACUACGUG
rnacentral:rRNA from 1 species